UACGGACUUAAAAUCCGUCGACUUUAUAAGUCGUGAGGGUUCA
rnacentral:tRNA from 10 species